AAUCUCUCUCUCCUUCAACAUUAUUUUCUAAUGGAUCUACAUACUUCUUACAUUUCUCUAAAUGUCUUUUUAAAUUAGUUGUACGAUUUCUUUUAGAAUCACAAGCAUACGAAGUCUCACAAUAUUUACAAGCAACCCUAGGAUAUUUAGGAUCACAUAUGUACAAUUUUGCAUCUUUCUACUUUUGUAAAAUGUUUCCAUACCCAUGAUGGUGGUUCAACCAAUUUUCUUUUUCCUAAC
rnacentral:lncRNA from 1 species